rnacentral:rRNA from 1 species
UACGAAGGGUGCAAGCGUUAAUCGGAAUUACUGGGCGUAAAGCGUGCGUAGGCGGUUUGUUAAGUCCGUUGUGAAAGCCCUGGGCUCAACCUGGGAAUUGCAGUGGAUACUGGCAAGCUAGAGUCAGGUAGAGGGUGGUGGAAUUCCCGGUGUAGCGGUGAAAUGCGUAGAGAUCGGGAGGAACAUCUGUGGCGAAGGCGGCCACCUGGACCAUGACUGACGCUGAGGCA